rnacentral:lncRNA from 1 species
GAUGCUGAAAUCACUGCACCUUAAAAACAAAAGGAUUAAGCUGCACUGCAUUCCUAUCUCUCCUUUAGCAGCCUUCAGAAGAUGGCAGCAAGAUAGCUGGAUCAGAAAUAGGGAGCACUUGGCAUAUCUACCUUGUUAAAGGCCAUUGGAACACUAUCUGUCUUUGCAAGAUGUUGCAGUGUCAGUGAGUAAUACUCAUGGCAUCCUUAAG